AACAUUAGUGCUAAUUGCUCAAUACCUGAAAUACAAAACAUAAUUGGUGAGUACAAACCACUAGUACAAAGACUAGGGUCAAAGGCAAGUCAAAUAUUCAAAACAGAAGUCAACAUUUCACAAGAAGCACAUUCAAUCAAACAAUAAAGAGUCCUCAAAAGGACCAAAGCCAAAUAAUAAGGCAAAGCCAUCAAAUGAUCAAAGUAAAGCCAAGGCAAGCAAAGGUGAGCAAUUAGACAAUCAAAUUAGAAAAACCAAAUGAAAAC
rnacentral:lncRNA from 1 species